UAUGGGGGGGGCAAGCGUUGUUCGGAAUUACUGGGCGUAAAGGGCUCGUAGGCGGCCAACUAAGUCGGAUGUGAAAUCCCCAGGCUUAACCUGGGAACUGCAUCCGAUACUGGAUGGCUUGAAUCCGGGAGAGGGAUGCGGAAUUCCAGGUGUAGCGGUGAAAUGCGUAGAUAUCUGGAGGAACACCGGUGGCGAAGGCGGCAUCCUGGACCGGCAUUGACGCUGAGGAGCGAAAGCCAGGGGAGCAAACGGG
rnacentral:rRNA from 1 species